rnacentral:rRNA from 1 species
UUAAGCGACUAAGCGUACACGGUGGAUGCCCUGGCAGUCAGAGGCGAUGAAGGACGUGCUAAUCUGCGAUAAGCGUCGGUAAGGUGAUAUGAACCGUUAUAACCGGCGAUUUCCGAAUGGGGAAACCCAGUGUGAUUCGUCACACUAUCAUUAACUGAAUCCAUAGGUUAAUGAGGCGAACCGGGGGAACUGAAACAUCUAAGUACCCCGAGGAAAAGAAAUCAACCGAGAUUCCCCCAGUAGCGGCGAGCGAACGGGGAGCAGCCCAGAGCCUGAAUCAGUGUGUGUGUUAGUGGAAGCGUCUGGAAAGGCGCGCGAUACAGGGUGACAGCCCCGUACACAAAAAUGCACAUACUGUGAGCUCGAUGAGUAGGGCGGGACACGUGGUAUCCUGUCUGAAUAUGGGGGGACCAUCCUCCAAGGCUAAAUACUCCUGACUGACCGAUAGUGAACCAGUACCGUGAGGGAAAGGCGAAAAGAACCCCGGCGAGGGGAGUGAAAAAGAACCUGAAACCGUGUACGUACAAGCAGUGGGAGCACGCUUAGGCGUGUGACUGCGUACCUUUUGUAUAAUGGGUCAGCGACUUAUAUUCUGUAGCAAGGUUAACCGAAUAGGGGAGCCGAAGGGAAACCGAGUCUUAACUGGGCGUUAAGUUGCAGGGUAUAGACCCGAAACCCGGUGAUCUAGCCAUGGGCAGGUUGAAGGUUGGGUAACACUAACUGGAGGACCGAACCGACUAAUGUUGAAAAAUUAGCGGAUGACUUGUGGCUGGGGGUGAAAGGCCAAUCAAACCGGGAGAUAGCUGGUUCUCCCCGAAAGCUAUUUAGGUAGCGCCUCGUGAAUUCAUCUCCGGGGGUAGAGCACUGUUUCGGCAAGGGGGUCAUCCCGACUUACCAACCCGAUGCAAACUGCGAAUACCGGAGAAUGUUAUCACGGGAGACACACGGCGGGUGCUAACGUCCGUCGUGAAGAGGGAAACAACCCAGACCGCCAGCUAAGGUCCCAAAGUCAUGGUUAAGUGGGAAACGAUGUGGGAAGGCCCAGACAGCCAGGAUGUUGGCUUAGAAGCAGCCAUCAUUUAAAGAAAGCGUAAUAGCUCACUGGUCGAGUCGGCCUGCGCGGAAGAUGUAACGGGGCUAAACCAUGCACCGAAGCUGCGGCAGCGACGCUGAUGCGUUGUUGGGUAGGGGAGCGUUCUGUAAGCCUGUGAAGGUGUGCUGUGAGGCAUGCUGGAGGUAUCAGAAGUGCGAAUGCUGACAUAAGUAACGAUAAAGCGGGUGAAAAGCCCGCUCGCCGGAAGACCAAGGGUUCCUGUCCAACGUUAAUCGGGGCAGGGUGAGUCGACCCCUAAGGCGAGGCCGAAAGGCGUAGUCGAUGGGAAACAGGUUAAUAUUCCUGUACUUGGUGUUACUGCGAAGGGGGGACGGAGAAGGCUAUGUUGGCCGGGCGACGGUUGUCCCGGUUUAAGCGUGUAGGCUGGUUUUCCAGGCAAAUCCGGAAAAUCAAGGCUGAGGCGUGAUGACGAGGCACUACGGUGCUGAAGCAACAAAUGCCCUGCUUCCAGGAAAAGCCUCUAAGCAUCAGGUAACAUCAAAUCGUACCCCAAACCGACACAGGUGGUCAGGUAGAGAAUACCAAGGCGCUUGAGAGAACUCGGGUGAAGGAACUAGGCAAAAUGGUGCCGUAACUUCGGGAGAAGGCACGCUGAUAUGUAGGUGAAGCGACUUGCUCGUGGAGCUGAAAUCAGUCGAAGAUACCAGCUGGCUGCAACUGUUUAUUAAAAACACAGCACUGUGCAAACACGAAAGUGGACGUAUACGGUGUGACGCCUGCCCGGUGCCGGAAGGUUAAUUGAUGGGGUCAGCGCAAGCGAAGCUCUUGAUCGAAGCCCCGGUAAACGGCGGCCGUAACUAUAACGGUCCUAAGGUAGCGAAAUUCCUUGUCGGGUAAGUUCCGACCUGCACGAAUGGCGUAAUGAUGGCCAGGCUGUCUCCACCCGAGACUCAGUGAAAUUGAACUCGCUGUGAAGAUGCAGUGUACCCGCGGCAAGACGGAAAGACCCCGUGAACCUUUACUAUAGCUUGACACUGAACAUUGAGCCUUGAUGUGUAGGAUAGGUGGGAGGCUUUGAAGUGUGGACGCCAGUCUGCAUGGAGCCGACCUUGAAAUACCACCCUUUAAUGUUUGAUGUUCUAAC